rnacentral:misc_RNA from 1 species
UAAAUAUAAAAAUUAUAGAUUAUAUUUGAACAUAUGAAUAAUUCUUCAUUUGUGUGAAUAUACAUAUAGAUUUGUAAUUACAUAAGAUGCUACAUUAUGAAUUUGGUUUACGACUUCCCUCUUUGUACUGUAAGUUUUAUUUAUUUAAGGAAACAGGACUUGCGAAAGGAAAUUGUUCAAGACAGAACCACCACUUUGCUCAGAAUCCACAUCACCAAAGAGAACUCAAACGCAAAGAGUGUGUGAAGCAAUCCUCGAUCAAGUGCAAAUCCAAAUAGUGUGAUUCCUCCAUUGUUGUGUUGCAAAUAUGCCACAAAAGCCUGCCUGGUUUGGAAGGAAGAUGGAUCCUGUGAAGAAUCUGACACCAAAAUGUCCGAUAAAUUGGAAUCAGUAUCAGCAGUGUUGGAUACAAGAAUCCCAUCGGCCUCCGGCACAAGGCAUUUCCCUUGGUCUGAUCUGGCGGAUGCAGAUGUAACGAUCAUAUGCCAUCUAGUUGCUACGGACACGAUGCCUUGAGCUCUAUGUGUGAUUCUAGCUGCUCCCAAUAAGCAUAAGAAGAAUCCACUUAACUGAACCACUGAACAAAUCACAAGGUCCCCUGAAUUGACGAAAGUUUUGUCAGACUUGAAUGCCAGAACCAGCAACAAUGCUCCCAAUUGACUAAUGGAAAUGGCAACCAAACAAGCAAUGAUAAAGAAUCGGUAUCUGUGGCUGGUAACAGACAACUGUUUCUUUAUCCUAAGAUGCUCCCUGAAUAUGACACCAGCAUACGAUUCGCAUCCGUCGAACAACUUAUGAAGCCCUUCAAAUCUAAGUAUCUGAAGCUCACAAGUCAGCCGAAACAGAACGCAGACCAACAGGAAAACACCUGUCCUGUAAACCCACGAUGCCAACACCAACACAAACAUGAUAGAAUUCAACGGGACACCUGAACUGAUCAGGAAAGGUAAUGAUAUUUUCACUGUGGAGAAUAAGGUGAUUUUGUGUGCAAGUUCCACCAAAAAAGAUGGCAGUAAAAUGCAUGAGAGGAGUCGAAAAGCCUUAUCAAGCUCCCGGGAGUAUCCACGUCUCACGAACAAAGAAUCGUCCUGUAGCCCAUCCAGGAACAAGAGCUGGCGAAGACCAUAUUUUCUGAAAAAACGGGAUAGGGUCAAGAAAGCUAUUAGAGCCAAACCAGACUCAGGAAACUGCACCAGUUUGUUGAAAGAUAUGGGGUUAUCGGAUGGGACUUUAAUAGAGAGGCAGCUUAUGAUGGGGACAACAAUGGUGAAUAAUGUGGAUGCCAAGUAUGAUAUGAAUUUUCCUAUGCAAGAGGAAUGAUCAAGGGCACACCAUUUGAGGCUUAUUCGAAAAUUGCGUAGCUCAUCAAAAAGUAGGGAUUUUGAUCUUGCAUAUGAUGGUUGAAGUAACAAAGGGACAUUAGCAUCAUUGUUCUGAUCAGGUAAUGUCGUGGUCAUCACACGUCGAUCGGAGAAUUGGACAUCGAUAUGGGCGUCAGAAGAAGGGGUGGAGGUGAUCAUGGUUGGAGAUCCAAAUUCAAAAGAAUUUGGAUUUGAUAUAUGCACACAUUAGGUCUCUUGUAGGAGCCAGCAAGUGGCCUGUGAUUCUG